UACGUAGGUGGCGAGCGUUGUCCGGAUUUACUGGGCGUAAAGGGUGAGUAGGCGGUUAUAUAUGUCAGGUGUAAAAAGCUAUGGCUUAACCAUAGUAAGCACUUGAAACUGUAUGACUUGAGUGCAGGAGAGGUAAGCGGAAUUCCUAGUGUAGCGGUGAAAUGCGUAGAUAUUAGGAGGAACACCGGUGGCGAAGGCGGCUUACUGGACUGUAACUGACGCUGAGUCACGAAAGCGUGGGUAGCAAACAGGAUUAGAUACCCGCGUAGUCCCU
rnacentral:rRNA from 1 species